rnacentral:tRNA from 1 species
GGGGAGAUACCCAAGUGGUCAAAGGGGGCAGACUGUAAAUCUGCUGGCGAACGCCUUCGGAGGUUCAAACCCUCCUCUCCCCACCA